GAUGAACGCUGGCGGUAUGCUUAACACAUGCAAGUCGAACGGACUCUUCGGAGUUAGUGGCGGACGGGUGAGUAACGCGUGAGAAUCUGGCUUUGGGUUCGGGACAACCACUGGAAGCGGUGGCUAAUACCGGAUGUGCCGAGAGGUAAAAGAGAAAUUGCCUGAAGAUGAGCUCGCGUCUGAUUAGCUAGUUGGUGAGGUAAAGGCUCGCCAAGGCAGCGAUCAGUAGCUGGUCUGAGAGGAUGACCAGCCACACUGGGACUGAGACACGGCCCAGACUCCUACGGGAGGCGGCAGUGGGGAAUUUUCCGCAAUGGGCGAAAGCCUGACGGAGCAAUACCGCGUGAGGGAAGAAGGCUCUUGGGUUGUAAACCUCUUUUCUUAGGGAAGAACAAAAUGACGGUACCUAAGGAAUCAGCAUCGGCUAACUCCGUG
rnacentral:rRNA from 1 species